rnacentral:rRNA from 1 species
GGGUGGUAAUGCCGGAUGUUCCACAUGAGCGCAUGCGAGUGUGGGAAAGGCUUUUUGCGGCAUGGGAUGGGGUCGCGUCCUAUCAGCUUGUUGGUGGGGUAACGGCCUACCAAGGCGUUGACGGGUAGCCGGCCUGAGAGGGCGACCGGCCACAUUGGGACUGAGAUACGGCCCAGACUCCUACGGGAGGCAGCAGUGGGGAAUAUUGCACAAUGGGCGCAAGCCUGAUGCAGCGACGCCGCGUGCGGGAUGGAGGCCUUCGGGUUGUAAACCGCUUUUGUUCAAGGGCAAGGCACGGUUUUUUGGCCGUGUUGAGUGGAUUGUUCGAAUAAGCACCGGCUAACUACGUGCCAGCAGCCGCGGUAAUACGUAGGGUGCAAGCGUUAUCCGGAUUUAUUGGGCGUAAAGGGCUCGUAGGCGGUUCGUCGCGUCCGGUGUGAAAGUCCAUCGCUUAACGGUGGAUCCGCGCCGGGUACGGGCGGGCUUGAGUGCGGUAGGGGAGACUGGAAUUCCCGGUGUAACGGUGGAAUGUGUAGAUAUCGGGAAGAACACCA